rnacentral:rRNA from 1 species
CGCGCGCGGCGGGCCUACGGGAGGCAGCAGUGGGGAAUAUUGCACAAUGGGCGCAAGCCUGAUGCAGCCAUGCCGCGUGUAUGAAGAAGGCCUUCGGGUUGUAAAGUACUUUCAGCGGGGAGGAAGGGAGUAAAGUUAAUACCUUUGCUCAUUGACGUUACCCGCAGAAGAAGCACCGGCUAACUCCGUGCCAGCAGCCGCGGUAAUA